rnacentral:sRNA from 1 species
CCCACUGUUGAAACGGUGGGCUAUUCUCGGACGUCCCUCCGGGACU